rnacentral:rRNA from 1 species
AUUGAACGCUGGCGGUAGGCCUAACACAUGCAAGUCGAACGGUAACAAGAAACAGCUUGCUGUUUCGCUGAGGAGUGGCGGGCGGGGGAGUAAUGUCUGGGAAACUUCCUGUUGGGGGGGGGUAACUACUGGGAAAGGUACCUAAUACCCCAUAACGUCGCAAGGGUAAAGAGGGGGGCCUUUGGGCCCCUUGCCAUCUGAAUUGCCCAGAUGGGAUUAGCUAGUAGGUGGGGUAACGGCUCACCUAGGCGACGAUCCCUAGCUGGUCUGAGAGGAUGACCAGCCACACUGGAACUGAGACACGGUCCAGACUCCUACGGGAGGCAGCAGUGGGGAAUAUUGCACAAUGGGCGCAAGCCUGAUGCAGCCAUGCCGCGUGUAUGAAGAAGGCCUUCGGGUUGUAAAGUACUUUCGGCGGGGAGGAAGAGAGUAAGGUUAAUACCUCGCCGUAUUGACGGUACCCACAGAAGAAGCACCGGCUAACUCCGUG